AUGAAGAUGGCCCAGGGUGACCAUGGAAACCCUGUGUUGGAGAUGGCAGCUCUGCUGUCAGCCUGAGCCUCUGAAGGACUGUGGAGGAGGACAUGCUAGUGGUUUGUUUACCUGCCCAGUACUAUCAUGUCAUGAGCUUUUUUAGAGGAGCAAUCAUGCAUUUCCUGGGCAUAUAAGAGUACUUCAAUAAGCUGAUGCUUCAACACCGAGAAAAUGUGGCAAUUCCUACAUCCAGAGAGAAGAAUACUUCAUGUCUG